CUCCUCCGCCUGAGGCGCUGGGGCCCGCCUGCCCCGGGCCGGUGCUCCCCCCGCCGCGCCUGCGCGGGUUCCUCCGGUGGGAGAGCCGCCCCGGGAGCCUGCGGCCGGGCGUGGGGAGCCGGGGGUGGCCGGGGCCGCAGAAGCCCGCCGUGACGGUGCCCGCGGAGCCGCUGCGCCGGGGCCGCGCUGCGGGCUGGAGCGGGGGGGCCCGUCCUCGUCCCGCCGCUGCUGGGGAUCCGAGGGAGCGCGGGAGCCGAGCCGCAGCCUUCUGCGUGGGAUGGGAGCUGGGCCGAAGGUGAAAGGCGGGUUACAAAACCUGCUGCGGCUUGGCUGUUUGGGCAUGAACUCCUAACUGCCCCCGAAACACCUGCCCGGGCAGAUUUCUUACGUUUGUGUCAUAGGCGUGUUGCGCAUCUGUCGCUGAUGUCUCCUGUAGGACUAGGGGCGGUUGGAUCCCUCCAAGGAAUUUGCGCUUGGAGAACAAAAGAAAGCAGUUUUCUUCAGAAACGUCGUUUGCAAACAAACGCAGGCUUUAGGUGCACCUUAGGACAACGUGUAUGUGCUACGUUAUCUGGGCUUUUUAUAAGAACUUGCAGUUGUCUUACAAGCACGUGAGUUCUACAACAAAAGAAGCAAGUCACUCGUUUUUAAAACUGGAAGGAAUAUGUUGAGGUGCAGCCGGUGGUAUUAGUGCCGCGUUUGGACACGCUGCUCGGCUGGCGUUGGUGCUCAUAGCUCCCCGUAGCAUUGGGGUCCUGGGACAUUGCUUCCAAUGUCGGUUGGUGCAGAUCCUGGUAUUGCUGCAGCUUUCGCCUCUGGCUGUGGCACGGCUGGAGGAGAGUGCCUGUCCUAACAGCACACAGCCCAACGCUGGCACAGCCGCGGGUGGGAACCACUCAAGUUGUGCCAUGCUCUUGCUAUAAACUCAUCAGUCCCUAGGAGUUUUUGCAUUUUUUUCUUUGUGUUUAAAGCAGAAAUUGUUUUUCGGGAGAACUGUCAACAAUAUAGUGUAGCGACUCAACAGAAAAACCACUUCAUAGGGACAACUCUUGGUAGCUCGUGUCGCCUUGUGCAGCUAACCUCUCCCAGGCAGUGCUGAGUGCAGCUGAGAGGGGCUGUUGGGCACACGCUGUUUGCUGCAGCCCGGCUGGGCAGUGGGAGAGCUCCCCGUGGCAGGGAGGUCUGCCGGCUGCGGCUCCUUGGCUGCUGCCGGCCCCUGGGCAGAGUUUUCUCUGGGUACGUUUCAUCGUCCAUUUCAAAGUCAGGUUGCUUUGUUGGUGGUCAGGAGUUUUGUUAAGAAAACGAGGCUGGCCUCAGUAACUUUUUUCUGAAUAUUUAGAGGAACUUUCACACAUUUACUGAUGUGCUGCCACUUCCCUUGGCAAGGUACUGGUGCCCUGCAAGCCCCUCCUGCCUCUGGCACUUGGACAUCAUGCUUGGGAAGUCGUACCAGCUGCGUUGUGCCCAGCUGCAUAGGGAAGAAAACCUGAAACGCUUUGUCACUGCUGGAAUGAAUGUCACCUGUUCAUUUAUUGAUCUGAAGAGGAAACACAUCGCUUCUUGGCAGUACCAGCUGAGCACCAGCAUGAAGUGGUGACCGAAGCACGACUGCAUCAUCACCCAGUCAACAGCCCCUGGAAGGUUAAUGUCUGUGGCAAGAAAAACGAUGUCUUCUCCCUGAAGGGUGGUAAUGCUUUUGUGGGCGUGCAUGAGCUUUUUUUAAACACUGGAACAGUUUCAACACUGCAAUUGUGAGAAGUGGAAAGGGAGAGGAUGAUUUUUCACCAAGCAUAAAGCUAGCACACAAGGUGCUACAGUGGAACAAGGCGUCCUCCUGCCAAAGGCAGAAGCCCCAUCACGGCAAACACGCCCGUCUGCCAUGUCUGCUGCCCUGCCGCGCAAUGCAGCGACCCAGGACCAGGACCAUCUGGAGACUCAGAAACAUGGCAGUAUCUCCAGUUAGAGAUGGCUGUGUUCAAGGAUCUCAGAAGACUCUCUUCAUGCGAGGUAUCUGUCCUAGCUUCCACGAUGCAGAGCAUUACCACUCCUAGGAAAGCUGCGAAGAGUCUGUAGGCUUUUUCCUCCUUCUCCCACGCUUUGUUUACCCCCAAAGCAUGGGGAUGAGCAGGCAGGAGUCCUGCCUGGCAGUUCAGCUGCUGGACAGACUGGCAUCCUGCGGGCAGCAGAGCUGCACCUCAGUACAAUGAAGGGCUGCGAGGACUCUGGUCCGGGGAGCCGCUCCAGCCUGGAUGCAUCCGUUUCAUUAAGGACAAGCAGGGAAAACUAGCUGCCACAGACGAGACCGACAAGAGACUUCAGAAAACGAGAACUAGGCCAGCGUUUCAGUGAAAAACCCGCGCUGGCUGUUUGUAUUCCCUUGGGCUCAGACUGGGUCACAGCUGGGCGUGUGGCUGGCUGCACUUGUUGCUGUGUUCAGCAGAGAGGACCUGUGUCCCACCACUGCGCUCCAUCUGUUACUGCCACCGUGAGGUUGACUCCCGUUCAAGGGCAAGUGGUAAAACAGCCCCACACUAUGAAAAGCUCCGCAAGACAGCGAUCCCAUCCCGUGACCCAGCCAGCCCCCUGAGGCAGACGGGGCUUUCACCACCGACCACACCGUGCUGCAAGAAUUGACACAGACGAUUCCCUCUGGAGGUGCCGUUACUCCCUGCGCAUCCUUAGCGAUGCUCCUGCGGGCCGGCCGGGGAAAGCUGCUGCUAGGGACUGGCUUUUCCAGGCAGAGGUGGCGAGUGCCUGCUCGCAGCUCUCACCGGAAAGCUCGCCACGUGCCGCUGGAGCCCGGCGGGGCCCGCUCCGGCUGCAUCGGUCCCACUGCCAGCCCGACCACAGUUCUCCAUGGACAGCUCUAUAUUUUAAAACUUUCUUCUCACAUUCCACAUCAGCGAUGGCUCCAGCAGUUCCUGUAUCUGUCCCUCCAUCACUUCAGCCUGUGGUUUUAAAGUGCUUUUGAUAUUACAGAGGUAUGAGGAUCAAGGGGCUCCAGGAAGAUAUAAAAAGGGCCUACUCAGCAUUGCCUGCGUGUAUGUAUCUAUCUGCCAUCCUGGUGAAUGUCUAUUAGGAAGGAUGUGCACUUUAGAGCAGUUCAUCUAGUUCUUUUAAAUAGAAAACUCACUUUAAAAAAAAAGAGAUUUAAAUGUUUAAUCUGAAUAUGUGAAAUAGUGCUGAGAGAGAACAGACUUGAAAAAAGAAUAAUUCAGAUGUAAUUACUGACCUGACAGCUUACCAGCCCCUGCCCUUCCAAAGGAGGGCUGCAGAGAACUAACAAGAGGGACAUGAACAGAACUUCUGCUACCUCCAUAAAACCCUUUUUUAAGACUGAGCAUCAGCAUAGGUUAAAAUAACUAGGGGGGGAGGGGGGGGGGGAAGUCUAUCCUUUGUAUCUACUGAUUAUGCCAAAUACUAGGACAAAAUUUAGAGCCGGAUUUUCAGUGAAUUAGAAAGAAUCAUUAGAAGUUUUGCUUUUAAAGGCUGGUGGCGCUCCUAUCAUCUUAUUUUACUUUAGAAACCUGCGGAACCAUGAAACAGGCUCAUGGAGGCCAGCAAGUGCCUCCUUUUACUGUUCAGUGUUUAUGACAGUGAAGAAAGAAAGGGAGGAAGGGGACUUGGACCAGCAGAGAAUGAAGCUGCAGAGCUACAGCUUUGCUGUCUGCAGUGGGUCUGGACAAGUCCCACAUGCUGGUGUGGGAGGAGACGCCUCGGGUGUCUUCAGCGUGGGCAUUAUUGUACGUGCCAAAUCAUCACCUUCUACAAACUGCCAAGUGAACCUGCUAUUGCUUAUGUUGGAUGAACCUUAGAAAGCGCCUUAAAGUCUUCUCGUGAGCUGCAAUGUUUCGCUAUCGAACUAGCAACGAAGGCGAGACAUAAACCCAUCGGGAAAUUCUGCAUCGGUCUGCUCUCCCCUCCUCAGUCCGCUCGGCGUGCAAAUCUGAGGCCAGCGCAGAGGCGGCCAAACAUGACACUGUACCUACCCCAGCUGGUUCACGGGGUUUUGGAAGUGAAAGACCACGAAGGUAGAGGAUUCUUUGCCGUUAAAAGAAACAACCGCAAAACAAAAAAACCAACCCGCCACGCUUCGAGGCCGCAUUUAUACCGAAACACCCAAAUGAGGGAAGAGCACGGCCGAGGCCACCUUCUCCAUGGCCAGGUUCCUGAUGCUGGGGGUGAGGGAGCCCCGGCAAGUGGGGCAGAGGCUCAGCUUCUGCCUGCAUUGAUUGCAGACCAGAUGCCCGGCCUGACACUGGAGGAUGGGCGGCAGCACAUAGUCGAAGCAGACGGGGCACUCGAAGAGCGAGCUUCAGAGCCCACCGCCCAUCGCGACCAGGUCCACGCAGGAGAGGGACCUUGAGGCACUCAAGAGACACCUUGAUUUCUCUAACAUCUCUGCCUGGCACGGAGGAAGGCAAAUUCCCACUCUCUUUCCUUUUUCUGCCAGCUGUCGUGGGAAGCAGAAGAACCUGCA